CGCAGGGCUUCACCCUGCGUUAAUAUAUUCCGCCCUUUCAGGGCU
rnacentral:sRNA from 1 species